rnacentral:rRNA from 1 species
UAUGUAGAAUUGCAGAUUCAGUGAAUCAUCGAGUCUUUGAACGCACAUUGCGCCCCCUGGUAUUCCGGGGGGCAUGCCUGUCCGAGCGUCAUUGCUGCCCUCAAGCACGGCUUGUGUGUUGGGUCGCCGUCCCCCCCGGGGACGGGCCCGAAAGGCAGCGGCGGCACCGCGUCCGGUCCUCGAGCGUAUGGGGCUUUGUCACCCGCUCUUGUAGGCCCGGCCGGCGCUGGCCGACGCUGAAAAGCAACCAACUAUUUCUCCAGGUUGACCUCGGAUCAGGUAGGGAUACCCGCUGAACUUUAAGCAUAUCAAUAAGCCGGAGGGAAC